GCACGCUCGGGCCACAGCCGCCACGGCCCCUGGAGCCCACGGGCGGCGGCACGCAGCGCUGCCCGACCCAGCCUCGGGACGCGACGUCCCCGGGGGCCCGCGGGGUCCGCAGCAGCCGGGGACCGCGCUGGCCGCGUAGCAAGGCCCGUCAGGGACAGGGGCUGAGGAACAGGUCGCGGUCCCAUCUGAAGAUUUCUCUGGUGGAUCGCAAGCAGUGUCAGCUCCGCUGUGUGGGCGUCUGGGCGGACCCGCCCUCCCGAGCAGGACAUCUCUUCCUCAUGCGACUGUAGGCUCCUGGAAGUAAAGACCCAUCAAUGUGUUUCAAAUGCCCAGCACCAAGACCUUUGUACAGAACAGAAGCUGUGCUGAAAUACAAGCAGAUGCACAAGUACUACACCAAAGCUGAGCGUCGGCGCCUGCCGUCGUCCUCUACCUCAAUAUGCUUUCACCCCUUUUCUGUUUUUAUAAGCUCCUUCCUACCAACGUGUUCAGCACCCCAACCACCACCCGUAACCCACCGAAACUCCACACACCCACACCUGGCCCUCAGCCUCCAUUCCCAGAACCCAGCUCUGAAGACUGAAUGACAAGAAGAACUUGUCUUUCCCUCAUUCUGACCAUGGAUGUGUCCUCUGAACAGUAGGGCGGCCCGAGUGACCGCUUCGUGACCCGUGUGAGCCCCGAUGCCCCGGAAGGCCUUCACCUACCGAAAUCCACACACCGGACCUCUGGGAGCCUGGAGAGGUUGCUCCUGCUUGUCCCAGCCAGCAGGCUGUGUCUGCCCCGAGGGUGACUUAAAUAGGAUGAGGAGAGGAGGAAGGAGAAUGAGCCCACUUCUGUCUCUAAAAGUUAAUGAGGUUAGGAUGUUCACAGUGAAAGCUUUCUUUUCUUCAUACCCUUUAAAAAAAUUGAAUCAUGUUUCCUGGAAGUUAAUCUAAUUAGCAGUGCUCUGCACACGCUCCUAUUAAACAAAACAACACAAUCACACAAUGUGGUGUCAGGGGACGCAACAAUUCACAGUGUUCUCUCGGGCUUUUCCAAGUCGUACCUUAUCCAUGAUGCAGUGAGUGAACCGGAAGUUUCUAACCUCCAUGAAAAUUAUGUGCUCAGUUCACAUAAGGGGAGCAUGUUUAUUUGGUAAAACAAUAAAACAAUUAUAUCUAUGUUCCUUUAAUCUAAUCACAG
rnacentral:lncRNA from 1 species